rnacentral:rRNA from 1 species
UGGGGAAUAUUGCACAAUGGGCGAAAGCCUGAUGCAGCAACGCCGCGUGAGUGAUGAAGGUCUUCGGAUUGUAAAGCUCUGUCUUUUGGGACGAUAAUGACGGUACCAAAGGAGGAAGCCACGGCUAACUACGUGCCAGCAGCCGCGGUAAUACGUAGGUGGCGAGCGUUGUCCGGAUUUACUGGGCGUAAAGGGUGCGUAGGCGGAUGUUUAAGUGAGAUGUGAAAUACCCGGGCUUAACUUGGGUGCUGCAUUUCAAACUGGAUAUCUAGAGUGCAGGAGAGGAGAAUGGAAUUCCUAGUGUAGCGGUGAAAUGCGUAGAGAUUAGGAAGAACACCAGUGGCGAAGGCGAUUCUCUGGACUGUAACUGACGCUGAGGCACGAAAGCGUGGGUAGCAAACAGGAUUAGAUACCCUGGUAGUCCACGCCGUAAACGAUGAGUACUAGGUGUAGGAGGUAUCGACCCCUUCUGUGCCGCAGUAAAACACAUUAAGUACUCCGCCUGGGAAGUACGAUCGCAAGAUUAAAACUCU